GCCUGCGGAGGGAUCAUURCUGAGUUACCGCUCUAUAACCCUUUGUGAACGUACCUAACCGUUGCUUCGGCGGGCAGGGGAAGCCUCUCGCGGGCCUCCCCUCCCGGCGCCGGCCCCCACCACGGGGACGGGGCGCCCGCCGGAGGAAACCAAACUCUAUUUACACGACGUCUCUUCUGAGUGGCACAAGCAAAUAAUUAAAACUUUUAACAACGGAUCUCUUGGUUCUGGCAUCGAUGAAGAACGCAGCGAAAUGCGAUAAGUAAUGUGAAUUGCAGAAUUCAGUGAAUCAUCGAAUCUUUGAACGCACAUUGCGCUCGCCAGCAUUCUGGCGAGCAUGCCUGUUCGAGCGUCAUUUCAACCCUCAAGCACCGCUUGGUUUUGGGGCCCCACGGCCGACGUGGGCCCUUAAAGGUAGUGGCGGACCCUCCCGGAGCCUCCUUUGCGUAGUAACUAACGUCUCGCACUGGGAUCCGGAGGGACUCUUGCCGUUAAACCCCCAAAUUCUUUACAGGUUGACCUCGGAUCAGGUAGGAAURCCCGCUGAACUUAAGCAUAUCAUAAACCGGGAGAGGAA
rnacentral:rRNA from 1 species